AGAAUCUCCACCUUUUGAGUUGUGUCUCCGACUUAAACUAUAUCCCUCCCAAAACUAUGUCCAGUAUUUACAUUUUUAAUGCUUUGAGCCAUGAGAUGAAUUUAAUCAAUUGUUCAGUAUUGGCCAGCUGUGUAAAAGCCUUACUCCUACCCUUAAUUAUGCGAUUGUAGCUUUACUGGAUCUUAUUGUUAAACCCUCUGCAUGGGUGCACAACUUUUGUUCCAUUCAUCACUGUGCACAGUACAUUUGUCCUAGAAAUACAUGGAGAGUCACACACAUGCAGUCACUAUUGGUGGGUGUGGUGCAUAUAGCAUAGAGCAAGACACUAUGUGCAUACACGCCCUCUUCAUUACCUCUCAAAUAAUUGAGUCAAACAUGCACAUUAGUGUUACAGCUUCGAAAAUAUACUGGAUUAUAGAACUGUUAUAUGCUAUCGAUGUGAUCGUACGGGAUAGAGGAUUUUUAACACCAACCACAAGGAAGUUUGGCAAGCAGCUCAUUUGUGGAACCACAUUUCAUUGUCCACUCAAAUGAAGACCGCUGACCUUGGUAUUUGUUACGUGGAGUACACAUUAUUGAAGUAUCUCACUCACCAUAGGGAAUUAUUUUGUGUGGAGAAUACAAGACAUUGGAAUAUCAUCUCAGAAGUAUCGAUUGUCAGUGAAUGUGCAUCACUCCCACUACCCAUUUGAUGAAACAGAACAACGUUCUCUUCAGAUGUGCGGAACUUGAAGUACAACGAAUCACUCGUCCAGGUAUCUAACGUGAUGUAGUCUUGAGAGCGUGUGAUGGUGACGGUUUGGCCUCUGAUUUCUCCAACUGCAAGCAAAGACGCACCAGCGACAUCUUGCACCUUGAAGAACUGCAUACUCACAAUAGGUACAACAAGUAGACACAAAAACCAGGAGUGCAACAUGGCCUAAUUGUCACUGCAGGACUUACUACAACGGCGCUUCAAAACA